GUGGUCCAAGUUCAACUCCUAGCCUAUAGGGUGUGGUAACAGGCCCUCUGUUAUUUGUUGUUGUACUCUGCAUGUGAAGUACUCUGCAUGUGAAGUAUCUGCACUGUAGCCUAUAGAAGAAGUAAGCCCUUGUUAAUAGGGGAACGCAAGCAGUUGAAGGGAACAAGUGACAGAGUCUAACCUGCUGUUGAACACAAACUCCCAGUCCUAUGAUGUUGCUCUGUGAAGAAGCUGCAUCCCAGCAAGUUGAAGGCCGGCAGCCACUAAGUAGAGGAAUGUUUUACAGCGUUUCAGCUUGCAGAGGUAUCACCACCCUUCCCAUGGCCACCUGGAUCCUGUCUAGGGAAGAAAACGAAGAAUGAUGUUAUUACAUGGCCUUCAAGAGCUACAUGACUGCUGAGGUGACAUAUCGGACCCCUUAGGAUUUGUGGCAUU